GAAAGAGAGAUAAAUUAUAGAGAGAGAAAGGCUGAUUGAUUCUAUAUCUGCUAAUGCUGAAAUUGUUAAAAAAAAGCUUCCAAGACUAUGGAGGCCUGCAGUAAAUUUAUCACUAUAUAUAUUCAUAGUGACGUCAGCUUCCAUUAUAAUACCCAAACCAUAAGAAGCUUUUUGCAGGUUCAGCCAUUACCAUUUCCAUUUCUCAGAAUGGCGUUUCUUACCAAAAUUGCUAAUCCUCAGCACUUUAGAAUACCUAAUUGCCCUAAUUCUUACAUGUUCGUAGCGGUUCUGUCUCUGUUUUGAUGAUUUUUUGGGUGUUUAUUAGCAACAGGUGUGGUUAUUCAUUACCGAUCCGAACCCGAUUUCGGACAACUUUUUUCGGUGUUUUUUUUUUUAUUUUAAUUUGGGGAUUCGAAGAGAAUUAAUUAAUGGCGAUUUCUGGAUUGAGUAAUCAUCACCAGAAAUUCGAGAUGCCUGCUGGAAUUAGGGCAUCUUCCAUGCCUGUCGGUAUGAACUCUGUCCGAGCUCGAGGAAGGUACGAUUUCGAUACCGAAUUUCGGAAAGGGGAAAGAAAACUUACUGCUGCUGUAAUAAUCCGACAUUCUAAGAAGAUGCGAACCGCCAUUUCACCUCUAGCUUCUUCUUCUUCUUCUUCUUUUGCUGUUACUGAAUCUUCGAACAGAGCAGAGAUUUAUAAGAAGAUUCUCGAAGCCGCCAGAGACAAAUUCACUCGCGAAAUAUCUUUCCAGUCGAAGGACAAAGACAUCUCACUCGCUAGGGCCUUACUCUACAUUGCUGCUGAGGACGAAGCAUUUUUGGCAUUGCAUCGGGAGAUGGAUUUCCGAUCGACCCUCGACGAGAGGCCAGAAACGGCGCCGUCGAUUGACGGCGGCGGGGCACAUUGGGAUUCGGUGGAGACGAUGUUGUUGGAAGGGAAGAACGUAGACGAGUGGUUGGCUGCGAUCGAUGCAUUGGCGAAGGAAGUCGAGGCCGAGCUCGUUGAGCGAGAGAUCGGAUGCCAUUUGGUCGAAGUUCUCGACGCCGUCAACAAAGUUUUAUUCGAGAUUAGGGGCUUUAAGAGGUUGCCGGUAUUGGUCGACUCCAAAUGCUCGUAUUUGCAUUCGGCAUUGAGCACCGGACAAUCAAGUGCGAUCUUGCUAAGUGUGGUUUAUAUCGAGGUUUGCCGAAGGCUAAACUUGACUAUCGUCGGAUCUCGAGUCGGGGAAGAUUUUUUGAUAUGGCCCUCCACCGGGAACCCCGAGGAGCUAUUCAAAGUAACUUGCGGGCAUAGUUUAUUCGGGAUUGUUAACGGGAAGUGUGUGGAUGAUCCGCGAUCGAGGGCUUCAGACAUAACGAGCAACUCGCUGUUAGGAUUGGACAUUGCGACGAACCGGGACAUCAUUGGAAUUGCUUUGGCCAAUCUAAUCAGGCUUUAUUGGAAACGGGCUUCAAGAACGAAUCACGGGCUUAUGCUGACGUCUCCACUCCGUUCAACGAUGUUCAAUAACGGUGAUUCGAGCUGUCCGUUAUUACGGCCUCGGGAGCUUAGGUUUUGAGAUGCUUAAAUUCCGACAUUGGACUUGAGUGACGGAAAUUGUGAAUUCGGACACAAUUUAAAUAUCUCCAUUUUUUCAAAAUAUAGCCAUUCUACGGAUCGCCAUAGUUUAAAUGUAAUUUACCUUUGAUGAGUUGUGCUUCCGUGAAAUUCUUACAUCAGGAUUAGGUUUAGGAGUUUUCGUCUUUGUGUUGUGACACUAACGUUGUUCGGUGUCCAAUUCUUUCGAUUGAUCGGUCUCUUUUUAGGGCGAUUCGAAUCUUUCUAUUAUUCUUUGUUAGGUUUAGGACAUGAUUCUUGAGGUUCGAUGAAAAUUAAGAUUCGUUCAUCAGGGUUUGUCUAGGCGUAUUUUUAUAGUUUGGAUUCAUUGUCGAAUGUUCCGGGGCAUGAUUUUUGAAAACAUCGUUCUGGAAAACUAUUUCGCCGUGUGUAAGUACAAUUGUAUGUUUCAAUGCUACGGUUACUUUUCAGGUUGGCGAUGAUGGCUUCGGAGAGAUUACUAAUCCUUCAGCCGCACAAUUGGGCUUUGCGACGGGACCACGGCAUGAUGUUGUAUUACACCCGUGAAUACGAGGCUGCGGUGCAAGAGCUGAGCAUAUGUAUGGCCUUUGCACCUGAG